GAGUUUGAUCGUGGCUCAGAUUGAACGCUGGCGGCAUGCCUUACACAUGCAAGUCGAACGGCAGCAUGAUCUAGCUUGCUAGAUUGAUGGCGAGUGGCGAACGGGUGAGUAAUACAUCGGAACGUGCCCUGUAGUGGGGGAUAACUAGUCGAAAGAUUAGCUAAUACCGCAUACGACCUGAGGGUGAAAGUGGGGGACCGCAAGGCCUCAUGCUAUAGGAGCGGCCGAUGUCUGAUUAGCUAGUUGGUGGGGUAAAGGCCCACCAAGGCGACGAUCAGUAGCUGGUCUGAGAGGACGAUCAGCCACACUGGGACUGAGACACGGCCCAGACUCCUACGGGAGGCAGCAGUGGGGAAUUUUGGACAAUGGGCGAAAGCCUGAUCCAGCAAAUGCCGCGUGUGUGAAGAAGGCCUCGGUGUAAG
rnacentral:rRNA from 1 species